rnacentral:rRNA from 1 species
GACGAACGCUGGCGGCGUGCUUAACACAUGCAAGUCGAACGGUAAGGCCCUUCGGGGUACACGAGUGGCGAACGGGUGAGUAACACGUGGGUGAUCUGCCCUGCACUUCGGGAUAAGCCUGGGAAACUGGGUCUAAUACCGGAUAGGACUCCUGCCUGCAUGGGUGGGGGUGGAAAGCUUUUGUGGUGUGGGAUGGGCCCGCGGCCUAUCAGCUUGUUGGUGGGGUGAUGGCCUACCAAGGCGACGACGGGUAGCCGGCCUGAGAGGGUGACCGGCCACACUGGGACUGAGAUACGGCCCAGACUCCUACGGGAGGCAGCAGUGGGGAAUAUUGCACAAUGGGCGCAAGCCUGAUGCAGCGACGCCGCGUGAGGGAUGACGGCCUUCGGGUUGUAAACCUCUUUCAGCACAGACGAAGCGCAAGUGACGGUAUGUGCAGAAGAAGGACCGGCCAACUACGUGCCAGCAGCCGCCGCGG